UGGUUAAGUGACUAAGCGUACACGGUGGAUGCCUGGGCAGUCAGAGGCGAUGAAGGACGUACUAACUUGCGAUAAGCGCAGAUAAGGCAGUAAGAGCCGUUUGAGUCUGCGAUUUCCGAAUGGGGAAACCCAACUGCAUAAGCAGUUACUGUUAACUGAAUACAUAGGUUAACAGAGCAAACCGGGGGAACUGAAACAUCUAAGUACCCCGAGGAGAAGAAAUCAACCGAGAUUCCGGUAGUAGCGGCGAGCGAACCUGGAUUAGCCCUUAAGCACUCGGUGAAGUAGGUGAACAAGCUGGAAAGCUUGGCGAUACAGGGUGAUAGCCCCGUAACCGACGCUUCAUCGAGCGUGAAAUCGAGUAGGGCGGGACACGUGAUAUCCUGUCUGAAUAUGGGGGGACCAUCCUCCAAGGCUAAAUACUCCUGACUGACCGAUAGUGAACCAGUACCGUGAGGGAAAGGCGAAAAGAACCCCUGUGAGGGGAGUGAAAUAGAACCUGAAACCGUGUACGUACAAGCAGUAGGAGCACCUUCGUGGUGUGACUGCGUACCUUUUGUAUAAUGGGUCAGCGACUUA
rnacentral:rRNA from 1 species